rnacentral:rRNA from 1 species
UACGUAGGGGGGCAAGCGUUGUCCGGAUUUAUUGGGCGUAAAGAGCGUGUAGGCGGCCAAACAGGUCAGCUGUGAAAACUCGAGGCUCAACCUCGAGACGUCGGUUGAAACCGUUUGGCUAGAGUCCGGAAGAGGAGAGUGGAAUUCCCGGUGUAGCGGUGAAAUGCGCAGAUAUCGGGAAGAACACCCGUGGCGAAGGCGGCUCUCUGGGACGGUACUGACGCUGAGACGCGAAAGCGUGGGGAGCGAGCAGG